UACAGAGAUGGCUACCGUUGUUCGGAAUCACUGGGCUUAAAGGGUACGUAGGCGGGGAUGUAAGUCGGUUGUGAAAGCCCAUGGCUUACCCAUGGAAAGUCAGCCGAGACUGCGUUUCUUGAGUGCGGUAGGGGAGAGUGGAACUUUUGGUGAAGCGGUGAAAUGCGUUGAUAUCAGAAGGAACGCCGGAGGCGAAAGCGACUCUCUAGACCGUUACUGACGCUGAGGUACGAAAGCCAGGGGAGCAAACGGGAUUAGAUACCCCGGUAGUCCUGGCCGUAAACGAUGAUCACUAGGUAGGGGGGUAAAUCCUCCCUGCUGGAGCAAAAGUAUUAAGUGAUCCGCCUGGGGAGUAUGGUCGCAAGGCUGAA
rnacentral:rRNA from 1 species